GAUGUGAGGGCGAUCUGGCUGUGACAUCUGUCACCCCAUUGAUCGCCAGGGUUGAUUCGGCUGAUCUGGCUGGCUAGGCAGGUGUCCCCUUCCUUCUCACAAGUC
rnacentral:snRNA from 1 species